AGGACGAACGCUGGCGGCGUGCUUAACACAUGCAAGUCGAGCGGAAAGGCCCUUCGGGGUACUCGAGCGGCGAACGGGUGAGUAACACGUGAGCAACCUGCCCUUAGCUUCGGGAUAGCUCCGGGAAACCGGAAUUAAUACCGAAUAUGACUUUGGCUGACAUCAGCAGAAGUGGAAAGUUUUUCGGCUAGGGAUGGACUCGCGGCCUAUCAGCUAGUUGGUGAGGUAACGGCCCGCCAAGGCGACG
rnacentral:rRNA from 1 species